rnacentral:misc_RNA from 1 species
AAAGGAUACACCAUUGUAUCAGCAGAUCUCAAAUAUAAUACAUAUACAUCUCACAGAGUUAUUACAGAAGUGAAUAAGAGUGUAGCUAGUCUCAUCGAAUUUGCUUUUUAACACAUCGAGAUCAACAAAGAAACAGAACAUCCCCAGCCUAUACUCUAGACACGCUAGUCCUUAGAAAGGAGGCAUACCUGUCUCCAAAGACCUGCACCUUAUGUGCCUUUUCUUCUCAUAUGGUGCAAAACAAGAGGUGUUCCUUCAAAUAGAUCCAACAAAUAACCUUCUAAGUCCUCUAGAGUAUACUUUAUGUACUUCCCAGCAUUUCUUCCACUCUCUAAAUGACCCCCAAAUCUUCCUAGAAAUGAGCGAUAUGCAGGAAGCACCUUUUCAGAAAUAGAAAUCCUGAGUUCUUCGCGCAGUUGAGCAUCUGGGACCUUCCAACCAGUCUGGAUUCUGUAAAUUUCUUCGAAACAUGCGUUGAAGUUCUUAAACCUCUCCUUGAGGGCUACCUUUGAAGCAUUGCUAGAGCUUCCGCUAAGCCCUUCAUCUUUCAAACAAGAUAAAACCUUGCUCCAUGAAGCUCUAAGAUAGCUUGUAGCAUGUUGUCGAAUCUGACCCUUCCGCUUUCUGACCCACUGAUCACCUAAAAGUUUUUGAAGCUCUGAAUCUUUCACUUUCUGAACGAUGUAAUGUACAUUAUUCAUCAAAAAUAUAUACGGCAUUCCACAAUCUUCAUACAUUCUCGACUUCCCCUCCAGAUUACCUUCCAAAGACUUGAUCAGUAACAUCAACCGCCUGGCCAGUGGUGCAACAUUCUCCAACUCCAAGUUAUCACCAUUAUCAGCUGCGGAAGAGCCAUAUUCUGUGUCACUCUCCAACUUCUCUAAAAGUCCAUUCAAUGUAUCACUAUAAUCAACCAGCAAUUUCACAUAAUUCAUAACAUAACGAGUCAAUGGAUGGAUUUCACCGCCUUGUGUUGGUUUCUUUGAAAUCUCCCGCUCAACAGCAUUUUCAAACUCCACAAAUGUCCCAAUAGCUGCUUCUCCUAGGCCAUCUAACACCCCCUUUGCCUCACCACACACCAAUUCACCAUCUUCAUCACUAAAAAGCAGCUCUAUGUCAGACAAAACAUCUGCCAGGGCAUCAUGCAUAUCCAGAAUCCUAAAUAACUUCUCAGACGACCUUCGCCCUAUUGCCACAGCUUCUCCAAAAUUCAAGAGCUGCAUUACACAGCCCUUUGCAGUUUCCAUAAAGCACACUUCUUUAAUCAACUCCGAGUCUCCAAAAACCUGGUCACAUAAGCUCUUUUCAGCAGAUAGAAGAAUCCUCACCAGAACUUUUACAGCAUAAAUCCAUUUUUUCAUUUUCUCAUCCAGCGACUGCCAAUCAAUCCUAUGGACCUCCUCAAUGCUCAGUUUCUCAAUGCCAAGAAUUGCUAAACACUCGUCAAGCACCUCUCUGCGAACACUAGAGUACACCUGGCAACAUUCCUUUUCAUAUCCAGAUUUAAUCAUACGGUUAGCAAUCUCUCUCAGAUCAAUAAUAGCAUCCGCAUACACCAAAUCAAGCGAGAAAUCAUCCGCUCCAAGGCUCUUCCCUUUGACAUGAUUGUACCUUGCACUGCUAACAUCCUCCUGAUCCUCAGACAAAGUACCUGUUUCAAAAUCAGGAAUUGCAACAGCAGAUGAAGAGAUAGAACAACGGCGAAUAAAAGAGGACUCAUGGAGACGGCUAGCAUCAAAAGGAACAGUAUUUCCAAUGAGAACAUGACGAAACUCCUCCUCCAAAUGAGCCAUAGCAUGCUGAAGAGCAGCCUCAGCCCGGUCCAUUUCGGGCGACAGAACACUCAGAUCCUCAGUCUUCCUAAUAAUCUCGUCAACAGCGUUGAGAUAUUCAGAGGUGGAUUCAGGAUCGGCGUUAGGAGGAGAGUCCCAUUCAAACACAAGCUUUGCAGCCUCUUCAAACACAAGAUCAGUAGAAGAAUGAUCGGUUCCAGCAAGGGCAGCAGCUGAUCUGGCGGAUGUAGGAGUUGAUGAAGAUGAAGUGGUGGUCGUGGUCAUCAUAUUAGAAAGCUUAGACAAACGAUUAUCAAAAUUAGAUAAAAUCAUAAGCAUAUCUUCCGUAUCAACAUUUGUAGAGGUGUUGAGACUCUUGACGAUCUGUUGAGCUGCUGCAAGAACCCUAUCUUGUCCUUCAAUAGUCGCCGCCAUGAACCCUUCUCUCCUUUCUCUCUCUAUAUCUAUAUGUAUGUAUAGAAUUGAAUUGAUAAGAUAUAUAUAUAUAUAAUUGGGAAGAAGGGUUUUGAGAAUUAGGGUUUGGGGAAGAAGAGGAGAGAAGGAAAGAAGGAAGAAAUGGGGAAUUUGGGGAAAAUCAAUUCAAACGUUGAUUGUUGCGUUCCAUUUCUGCUGCGUGCGGGGCGGGGCGGGU